CCUAUGAGCCUUUGUUUGCUAGCGCUGACUCCAGGUUCUGGAGGUCAGAAGUGACACUGAGCUGAAAUCAAGGUGUGGGCAGAGCUGUAUUCCUUCGGGACAUUCUAGGGGAGAAUCUGUGUCUUCGACUUUUCCAGCUUCUAGAGGCUACCCACGUUCCUUGGCUUGUUGCGGAACCACUCAGACCUCUGCUUCCCUUGUCGUAUCUGACUCUGACCCUCUUACUUCCCCUUUUCCCUUAUAAAGACCCUUGUGAUUAGAUUAGGUCGACCAGAUAAUUCAUAAUAAUCUCCCCAUCUCAAAAUCCUUGAUUUAAUCAUAACUGAAAAGUCAUUUUUGCUAUGUGAGGUAACAUAUUCACAGGUGUUGGGGAUCAGGAUAUGGAAUCAUGGGAGGGGGACAUUAUUCUAUCACAUUCUCCCAAAAAAGAGUCAUGUCUAGAUGGAUGAUGAGAACCAUAAUGAGGUGUAUUUUGGCCGAAUUAAGCCAAUGCAUAUACCUGAAAACAGUUACAAAAAGUAUACCAAUAAAAAUGCUGAUAAUAUACCUAGUGUGGACCCCACCCAAAGGGCACAGGGAUGUUUAACCUAUUCAAAACAAAGGUUCCACUCUUGAAAUAAAGGCCCUCAAAUUCAAUAAAUAUUUAUGAAAUCGUUCCA